rnacentral:lncRNA from 1 species
UUUUAAAUUCUGUUAAGGUAAGCCACCUUUGUUAUGAUCAUUAUUUCUCUUUGAACAAAGUGAGACUUCCAAAUGAUUAUCUGUACAUUGUCGUAUUCCCUACUGUUUUUCUGUAUCUCUGUUCUUAUUGCUUUUUUAGAGUUGAAGAUAGAAACUUGCAAAAAAUCAUGAAAAUCCCCAGUUUCUCUCUGAAUAAUUCUAAAUGCUUUCAAACACCACCAGUCUGGAGUUUGUUUAAACCUGUAUAUCAAAAUUUGCAUCAUAUGAAUGUUCUCUUGGCUUCUGUCUCUGAUUUCACCUCUUUCUGUUAAUCAAGCAUCUAUAUUGCUCUUAAGAAAAUGUGAACCGCAUGAGGACAGCUUGCCCAUAACUUCACUUUUUAUGGUUGUGUCCACCCAUGUACACUGACUUGCAGGGGGAAAGGGUUAAAAGGUAGACUUCAGUGGAAUAUCUACUGUUGGUGUUUCAAAUCAUUAAUUGCUUUGCCAUUUCAAGUCCAACUUGUAUAGCUGCCCACAUUUUCUCAUUUGGCUGAAAGUUCUGUUGAUGUAGGAAUAGUUCACAGCUGAUAACAAAGUUGACUUCCUCUUUGAUUCUAAGUUUGAGGUGGAUGUAAGAUAGAAGAGACCAGAAAUAGAUUUGAGGAAAUGAAAGGUUUGUAUUUCUGUUCCCAACCCCCAGAAUUAGUAAAUGACCUCCAAGCUAGAGGAGAGGAGAUUUUAGAGAAAGGAAAAAAGGAAAUGAGAAGUAGUGUAAUGAUUGCACUCUCUGAACUCCACCUAUGCACCUGUCUCCACCCUAUAAAAUCUUCCUUAAGUCUCAGGAUCCUAAAGAGGAAAGUCCCAGGUACGAUCUAGAACAACAGCAAGAUGGAGAGAAAAGCCCAGCUCCAUGCCAGCUUAGCAAAAUGGGAGAUGGUAUUUAUGAAAAAAAGUAAACCAGAGACAACACCCUCUCCUCAACUUUUCCCAUGGAUCUGGAAUCCAGUUUUUCCUAGGGAUCCAGUAUGGGGACACAGAAGUUGUCUAAGAGUAGGAGCUGGAACGCCUCCCAGGAAGUCACCUAUUGGUGUGAGAAGGUCUUCACUGAAAGAAUGCUGCAUGCACUUCCAGCCAUGGUCCAGAUGGAGUGUGGAACUGAAUCCAGAGGACUGGCAGCACCAGAAGGCAAAGAAGAGCCUGUUGUCAA